UACAGAGACUGCAAGCGUUAUUCGGAUUCACUGGGCGUAAAGGGUGCGCAGGCGGCUAAGUGUGUUAGGCGUGAAAGCCCGGGGCUUAACCCCGGAAUUGCACCUAAAACUACUUGGCUAGAGCAUUGGAGAGGGUAGCGGAAUUCACGGUGUAGCAGUGAAAUGCGUAGAUAUCGUGAGGAACACCAGAGGCGAAGGCGGCUACCUGGACAAUUGCUGACGCUCAGGCACGAAAGCGUGGGGAGCAAACAGG
rnacentral:rRNA from 1 species